CGUCUUCUCUCUCAUUCUCUCAGAUAGGACUCUGAAGAAAAAAAAAUCUUCCGCCAUUGAAACUAGAGGAAACUAGGUAUGAAUGAUAAUCAGGGUUUGGUAUUUAGGGUUUGAAUCGAUUGAUGAUAUUUUUUCUGUUAGGGUUUGAUAAUUAGGGUUUGGCUUAUUCUCCAACGAGAAGGCUCGACUAAUUCUGCUUUUCUCUUUUAUCUUCUUCUCCUCUCUCCUCGUAUUCUUCAUCGUCGUUUCGUCUCUGCAUGAACAGAGAUAUUUAAAGAGAAAUUUGUUAAAUUAAUAAGUCAAGAAAGGUUGAUGAGAUUGUGAGUCUGAUUUGGUUAUGGUUAUUGUAGAUUGAAGAAAGGAAAAUCAUUAAGAAAUUAGGGUUCUGUUGCGUUGAUGAUAGAUUGAUUAAGAAACUGAGCUAUUAGGGCUGGGUUUUGAUAACAUAAUAUAAGGAAGAAUUAGGGUUUCAUUUCAGGUCUGAGAUUAGGAAGUUAAUCUAGCUAGGGUUUGUCUGAGUUGCGAUUUGAAGAGGGUUUGUUUGAAUUAAGGUGAAGAUUUCUGUAUCGAAUCAAGUAAAAAAGAAUCUGAUUCAAUUGGUGAAAUUAUCUUGAGCAUUUGCAAAUAUUAUGCAUGUGGACUGCACCAAAUAUCCAAGGCUGUGAGCUUUUUGGACAAUGACUGCAAGCUAGUGAAGAAUCCAUUCGAAGAAGAUUGGGUAGUUAGGAUUAAAAACUGUAUUGAUUUUGGCUUCGAGUUACAGACAAGGGUUGAUAAGGCUGAAUCAGCAAAUACUGGCCUGGAUUCUACAUUUCAGAUAGCUGCAUCUUGGCAAGUCAAUAAGAACUUCUUAUACAAGGAAAAGUGGGUCCGUUAAGCUCAUCAAUAACUCUAGCAUUCAAGUCACGAUUGAAACCUUCCUUCACAUUCAGCCAUUCUGCUGUUAGAGAUGGUAGGACUGCCACCACAGGUUUUGGGUUCGGGCUUCGUGCUGAGGAUCGUGUCUUUGGGUGUUUUCCUUAGAGAGCAUAUGAAGAUCUUAAUGAGAAAAGGCAGUUGCUUGUUAUUUGCCUUCAGCACUUCAAAAUGUAAGUGUGCAUGAACCAGUAACAUUUUAAAUUCUAUAAAUUAGUUUUUUUGGGUAUUAAUUUGCAUCCUUAUAUAGUAGGGGCAUAAGUGUAACUAUAAUUUUCUGGAUUGUUAAGUUCAUUCAGUAACGGCAUGACUUUAAAGUUCAUUCUUACUUCACUGUGC